UGCCUUUUGAUCUUCUAUAAAAGGUAACUCCUGCCCAGUGAAACAUUUCAACGGCCGCGGUAUCCUAACCGUGCAAAGGUAGCAUAAUCACUUGUCUAUUAAUUGUAGACUAGAAUGAAGGGAUAAACGAAAUAAGCACUGUCUCUACUAGUUUAACAUAAAUUAUACUUUAGAUGAAGAUAUCUAAAUAAAAACGAAGGACAAGAAGACCCUAUAGAGCUUUAUUUUAAUAGAGAUAUAAACUCAAUAAAAAAUUCGGUUGGGGCGACCAAGGGACAUAAAUCACCCUAUAUAAUACAGAUUUAUUAAUCUCAAUUAUGACCCUUUCACAAGAUCAUAAGAACAAGCUACCUUAGGGAUAACAGGCUAAUCUCAUUUAAGAGUCCUUAUCUAUAAUGGGGGUUGGCACCUCGAUGUUGGCUUAGGGUAUCUAUAUGGCGCAAAAGUCAUAAAUAGAUGGUUUGUUCAACCUUUAAUUCCCU
rnacentral:rRNA from 1 species